rnacentral:rRNA from 1 species
CCUACGGGUGGCUGCAGUAAGGAAUAUUGGACAAUGGGCGCAAGCCUGAUCCAGCCAUGCCGCGUGCAGGAAGACGGCCCUAUGGGUUGUAAACUGCUUUUGUACCAGAGAAAACCUAUCUACGUGUAGAUAGCUGAUAGUAUGGUAAGAAUAAGCAUCGGCUAACUUCGUGCCAGCAGCCGCGGUAAGACGAAGGAUGCAAGCGUUAUCCGGAUUCAUUGGGUUUAAAGGGUGCGUAGGCGGGCUUGUAAGUCAGUGGUGAAAUCUCUCAGCUU